UGCCAGACGCAACGCCCAAAGUGUCCGCUUACAAAUUCAAACGCAGCGACAGGAGUCGAUUCGCAAAUGCAAAACAGUGUCCGAAAUACACCCGUUUCACCUCAACUCAACGAACCGGUAACAGGAGAACAUGAGCCUUCUGAGUUUCGGUCACAACAUUACGAUGUUGAAGUGGUGAAGAAGAGGGCAAUAAAUUAGGGCACACGUAAAGCGUGCCCGACGAGGAGGAAGCGUAGAUUCUGAGCUUUACAUGUGUCAAACAAUGAAUGAACAGACCUUUUUAAGUGGAUGAUUUCUCGUCAUUGAAAUACAACUUCCCCAAGACAGUGCCAUUCACGGUGCAAAUUUAUUGUUACACUUCUUUCCGUUGGGAAAGGCCAAUUCUUUACAUUAAGAUAGGGCUUUUUUUGUGUGUAAAAAAGCAGUAUUCCUUAGUGGGUGAUGAGGAUUGAGCUCCAAAUAUGCACUAUUCAACCAUUGAAAUGUUGAAGUAGCACAUGUGAUAAUAACUGGAGCAUAUCAUAGAAAUUAGGGUUUUGCAUAAUUUGUUGAGCAGAGGGCUGUGUUAUAAUAUGGAGGAAGAAGAUGAAGAACCUUUGGGACCUGAAGUGAACCCAAGGAGGGCAGCCAUGGAAGCCUAUGGAGCACGCCCAAACGUCCAUGACAUUCUAUCUCGCUUCAUGACUGACCUGCUUUGUACUCAACCUGAUGAUGCUCUGGAUUUUAUGUAUACAUGGUGUCAGAAAGAAAAGGAAAAGCAAGUGGCAUUUUCAACAAAAAAAUAAUUCCAAACUUGUGGUUGGAUAUAAAGCACUUACUGAGUUUAUGCACAUUGUGAAAAGUCAGAACAUUUUAUUGAUUACAUCAACAUCAAGAAGUUUUUACGAUUUGUUGAACUUAAGGCAAUGACAGUGAACUUGGAACAAAUCCAAUAUGCAUAAUAUAUAUAUAUAUAUAUAUAUAUAUAGAGAGAGAGAGAGAGAGAGAGAGAUAGAAAUAUAUGAGUUAUUGUUUGAAUUUGAAUGUGUAGUGUUGGAUUAAGGUGUCUUAAUAAAUCAUCAAAUUUAUUAAAAUUGGAAAUGAA